GGCUCUGUAGCUCAAAUGGUAGAGCAACGCUUACUAUCACGUAAUGGAACUACAUUCAAUACUGAUGUUACUUUGUGGAGGAUGGUAGUUCAAAUCUAUCCAGAGACA